GGAUGCCGAUCAUACCAGCACUAAGCACC
rnacentral:rRNA from 1 species